GGGUCUCUCUCUCUCUUCUCUCUCUUCUCUCUCCUCUUUCUGUGUGGCUUUAGUUUCUCAGCUGUCGAAAGGAGAGAGAAAAUUCGGGAAUUCAAUUGCUUGGAUUUAUCCGAUUUCGAUCCGAAUUCAAAACCCUAGGUAGUGCGAUUUCCGAUGUUCUGAUCGACCUGAUCUCUUUCAAUAUCGGACAUGGAGAGGAUCGUCGGCGGCAAGUACAAGCUCGGCCGGAAGAUCGGCAGCGGCUCGUUCGGCGAAAUCUAUCUCGCUACGCAUAUCGAUACGUUUGAGAUCGUCGCUGUUAAGAUUGAGAACAGUAAAACAAAGCAUCCCCAGUUACUUUAUGAGGCCAAGUUAUACCAUAUCCUUCAAGGAGGAAGUGGAAUUCCGGGUAUAAAGUGGUCUGGCACUGACGGGGAAGAUAAUGUGCUUGUUCUUGAUUUGCUGGGGCCAAGUUUGGAGGAUUUGUUUGUCUAUUGUGGAAGGAAGUUUUCACUAAAGACGGUCUUAAUGUUGGCUGAUCAGAUGAUUACAAGGAUAGAGUAUGCGCAUUCGAAAGGUUUUCUGCAUAGAGACAUAAAGCCAGACAACUUCCUCAUGGGUCUUGGUCGGAAAGCAAAUCAGGUUUACAUAAUUGAUUUUGGGCUUGCAAAGAGAUAUCGGGACUCGACAACUAAUCGCCAUAUUCCUUACAGGGAGAACAAAAAUUUAACAGGGACUGCAAGAUAUGCAAGCUGCAAUACUCAUCUUGGAAUUGAGCAAAGUCGAAGAGAUGAUUUGGAGUCACUUGGAUAUGUACUUCUAUAUUUCUUGAGAGGAAGUCUUCCAUGGCAGGGUUUAAAAGCAGCCACAAAGAAACAAAAAUAUGACAAGAUAUGUGAAAAGAAGUUGUCAACUCCUAUUGAGGUUCUAUGCAAGUCUCACCCAGUGGAGUUCGCAUCAUAUUUUCAUUAUUGCCACUCAUUGCAAUUUGACCAAAGACCUGAUUAUGGAUUCUUAAAGAGACUAUUUCGUGACUUGUUUGCUCGUGAAGGAUAUGAAUUUGAUUACAUAUUUGAUUGGACAAUUAUAAAGUACCAGCAGGCACAAAAGAAUAGAACACAAGCUCGAUUAUCUCCAGCUCCUGGAGGGAGCAACAGUCACACGAUGCAAAUGGAUAUGGGCAGUCAUCAAGUGGCCGGUGGUAAUAAUCCUUCCUACUCAGCUGAGGUUACAGACCGCAUUAGAUCAAGCAAUGCUACUGGUCCUGGCAUUCGCGUGCAGUUUAAACAACCAGUGACCAAGAAUUUGAACUAUGAUAAUCUGCUUGAAAAGCAUCUUGUUAGUGAAACAUACGUGCCGUCUAGUACUCAUGCAGUUGCUGGAACCUCAAGAAGACAGAAAUCUGUUUUGCCUGCUGAAGCUGCAAACCCUGGUCAUGGAAAUGGCAACAGAGUGGGUCCUUCAAGUAGCUGGAUUUCAUCUCUGCAACGGAUCUCUUCUGCCAAGUGAUCUGUAAGCAUGUUGGGUCGAGCAACAUCCUACCAAUACAUCUGUGAAGCAGCAGAUAUGAGGUGAUUCGAUGGUCGUUUUGUAAUGUCAUCUGUUUAAGAAGAUUUCAGUGAUACAGCAGUGGUCACUUCAAAUUUGCUGUUUGUUUGAUGAUUUGCAUUAGUUCCUGAGUUAUCGCCAGCUCGCAUUAUUUUUCCUUAAGAUUUUUGUUUCUCAGACUGGGGCCUUCUGGUGUUCCCUGGAGCAUUUUCUCCUGGUUAGCCAAUCUUUCUCUGGGUUUCUAAAGGAUGGUAUCGGAAGACCAUAAAAUAUGCGGCUCUCUGCUUCCACACUGGCUCAAAAACGUUUGGAUUGCGACCGUUUAUAUAAUAGUAGAGUUCUGUUCAAGACCUGGUAUACUUAGUUCAAUCCCCUCGAAGUAGUAUUCUGAGCCUCCAAGACCAUGAAAUAUAGGAAUAUGAAAUCUAACCGGACUGACUGAGAUGCUGAAUAUUGUGCUGCUCUAUAGAUUCAGCGCUGCAUAUCGUUGCAGAACAAAAUAAUUGUUUUUGAGUCGUGUGAUUACUGUUUUCCUUUGCUCUUUGCUAAAAAAAAAUGCUCGUUGGCUGGUUCCUAGUACAGUUGGUUUCAAUCAGAAGAUCCAACAGGCAGUUCUUUUUCUUUUUGGUGGUGUGGUUUCAUUGAUGGAUACGAAGAUCUGCUGUUGUAUGUGCUGUCACUUAUGGUGUGAUUUGGGACAUUGGAACUCAAAUUGGUAUGUCGCAGUCAGGACGAUGUGUAAUUUGAUCGAGUUCUGUUAGGUUUUGUACUGAAAUUUCAUUACCCCGUUAAGCUAAGAGAAAAAUGUUGAAUGUAUCC